rnacentral:rRNA from 1 species
AUUGAACGCUGGCGGCAGGCCUAACACAUGCAAGUCGAACGAGUGGCGGACGGGUGAGUAAUGUCUGGGAAAAUGCCCGAUGGAGGGGGAUAACUACUGGAAAAGGUAGCUAAUACCGCAUAACAUCGGAGGGGCGCAGAUGGGAUUUGCUAGUAGGGGGGGUAAUGGCUCACCUAGGCGACGAUCCCUAGCUGGGUUGAGAGGAUGACCAGCCCCACUGGAACUGAGACACGGUCCAGACUCCUACGGGAGGCAGCAUUGGGGAAUAUUUCCCAAUGGGCGCAAGCCUGAUGCAGCCAUGCCGCGUGUAUGAAGAAGGCCUUCGGGUUGUAAAGUACUUUCAGCGGGGAGGCGUUACCCGCAGAAGAAGCACCGGCUAACUCCGUGCCAGCCGCCGCGGUAAUAC